rnacentral:tRNA from 2 species
GGAGGGGUAGCGAAGUGGCUAAACGCGGCGGACUGUAAAUCCGCUCCCUUUGGGUUCGGCGUUUCGAAUCCGUCCCCCUCCA